rnacentral:rRNA from 1 species
UGGCGGACGGGGGAGUAAUGCUUGGGAAUCUGGCUUAUGAGGGGGGAUAACUACGGGAAACUGUAGCUAAUACCGCGUAAAAUCUUCGGAUUAAAGGGUGGGACUUUCGGGCCACCUGCCAUAAGAUGAGCCCAAGUGGGAUUAGGUAGUUGGUUAGGUAAAGGCUGACCAAGCCGACGAUCUCUAGCUGGUCUGAGAGGAUGACCAGCCACACUGGAACUGAGACACGGUCCAG